UACGAAGGGUGCAAGCGUUACUCGGAAUUACUGGGCGUAAAGCGUGCGUAGGUGGUUUUUUAAGUCCGUUGUGAAAGCCCUGGGCUCAACCUGGGAAUGGCAGUGGAUACUGGAAAGCUAGAGUGCGGUAGAGGGUAGUGGAAUUCCCGGUGUAGCAGUGAAAUGCGUAGAGAUCGGGAGGAACACCAGUGGCGAAGGCGGCACCCUGGACCAGCACUGACACUGAGGCACGAAAGCGUGGGGAGCAAACAGG
rnacentral:rRNA from 1 species